AUUAAUAACCCCAAAUCUCCCAUCGAUCAAAAUUAAUAACCCCAAAGCUCCCGUCGCUGAGCCCUCCUUCUUCUUCUUUCUCUUCGAAGCGGCGGCAGGCAGAAGCGCGCUCCGAGUCGAACUCCGCCGUUCGUCCCCGUCGCCAUUCCGUUAAACCGUCGUCAGUGCUCACCUUACUCAUAGAUUUGGGCGCGGAUCUCAUUGAAUUUGAGAAAGCGACGGAGGAGAGUACCGAUAGACCCAACCGACAUCGCCACAUCAUAGUUUCGCCGGCGGAGCAGCAGAUCACGUGUGAUCUUUGAUUCAAUCAAGGGAACCAAAAAGAAAUCUCUUGUUCAAUCAAGGGAACCAAAGUUGGCUGGCAGCAGCAGAAGCAGAAGCUGCCACUUUAUCAAUUGCUAAGCGAGCAAUACCUGAUGCUUCAUCAAUUGAUGAGGCAAACCAGGUUCUUCGUAGUAACUGGAUUAAAGCAAUUGAAGAGCACCUUCUACAAUUUGGGAGCUCUAAAAUUGAGGAUAUUUUAGACAUUGGUUGUUCCGUAGGAGUGAGCACAAGAUAUCUUGCGGACAAAUUUCCUGCAGCUAAUGUCACAGUGAGCACAAGAUAAUUUUGUAUUCAGUUUGUAUUCAGUCAACAAUAAUAAUAUAUAAUAGACUGUAGCUUUUCACCUGAAGCAAAGAUUAAAUAUGCUCAACCCUUACAUAUACAAUUUCUAACGUUCAGUUGAUGUGCCAAAAUACUACUAUGUUUUUUUUCUGGAGUGAUAGCCAGUUAAUUGGAA